rnacentral:lncRNA from 1 species
CAUUUUCAUUAAGAACACUACUUUCUAUUCAUUUAUGAUGUUGGGGGACAGAUCUUGCCCAUAGAGCCAGAGCCACUUUUGGGGUAUCUGAGGAAACUGAUUUCAAAGAUUUGUUGAUCUGUAUCUAUGCAUAAGUAGUCAUUUUAUGCUUCUCCUUUUCCCUCCACAACUUGAACUUUUUUGAUAUUUCUUAAACCCGUGAGUCAUUUUUUUUUAAACUUAAGGAUUUGAUACCUUUUAGUGUCCCCUUUUUCUUUUUUAUGUUUUAGCAUUUUUUCUCUGGGCCCAGACUUUGAGUCAUAUUUCUUAUUCCAGUGGUACAAUUCUAAUUUAAAUUCAAGGCUUCAUUAUUUAUCAGAUUAAAUAUACAAGAUGUCACACAAAGCCACUUAAGUCUUCAGAUAAGGACUUAGUAACACAAGACAUGCCAACAGAAGUUCUUGGAUUUUUAUGUGGCUUUUUUGUAGGAACGCAUAUAUAUAGUGAUACACUAUCAUUUAGAUAUAUUCAGGUCAUGUGAAUUUAUGCUUGUCUAGAUAUAUACAUGUAUGUGUGUGUAAAACUUAGUAUUUUUGAGAACAAAUUGUCAGUCUAGUAUUUUUCUCUUAAUAGCACAAGAUGAUAUCAGACAUGAGGGCUAAAUAUAAGUUAGGAAUGCUACCACUUGCUAUGCAACAAUCUAAUUUCGACCUUAGUUCCCCUGUAUUACAGAAGAUGCUAAAGAUUUAGUUUAUCAAAGGAAGUUAGAAAACACUUUUUUUUUUUGCAAAAAGCUUUUGUAAGCUUAAUUAUUUUCU